rnacentral:lncRNA from 1 species
UAAAGUUCAUACAAACAUUUAUUCUGUUCCUACUCGGAGGGAGGUGGCAUCCCCCAGAUGAUAGCCCAGAGGCCCUGAAGGCCAGACCAAGGGGCUGGCUUGGCUCUGAGGUUGGGGAGUCCUGGGUGGGCUGGGGUGAGUUCUGGAAGCUACCCCCCAAGUGGGCAGGGUGAACAUCCAGGCCCAUGGGACUGACCAUGUGGGUUGACCCUCAGCUGAGGAGGUGUGCAGGUCAGCAGGUUUAAAUUAAAAAUUAAUAAAAAUAACAGUAUAAAGUAAAAAAAGACAACCCGUCUCAAACCAUGAGGGCUUGUCCUGUCGCCUGCGUUAUAUACAAAGGAGCGGAAGGCAUAACCCACUGUCGGGAGCGGUGGUGACACGUUGGACGGGUGUGGGGCUGGGCUGAGGACUGGUCUCAGCCUCGGCUCUGGGCUGCUCACUGCAGACCUGCGGCUCGAGCUCGGGAGGCGCAGGGUCAGCUGUCAUGUUUUAUUACACAGUUUGAAAAGAGGCCAAGGGCGUCAGGGCUGAGGGGUCGGGGUUGAGGGCAGCCAGGGUUGGAAGAAGGGGUGGCAUGGUAAUGUUGGAUGGGAGUCAUCGCUUGGUCUUGGCGUCUUCUCGGAUCUUCCAGAUGACAAGGUGCAUACAGGCACUGGCAUCUUCACUGGAGCUGUGCCCGUCCAC